CUCAGCUGAGCCAGGGUGGGCAUGUGUAAAAAUGCUAUCAUGUUUCCCCCUAGUUCUUCUUCCCUCUGCUGGUAGAUGCUUCUUUUCUUCUUUUGGGGAAAAAUAUUAUGGUUCCUUUCUCUACAAACUAUGGAAAUUGGAUGGU